UACGGGGGGGGGCAAGCGUUGUUCGGAAUUACUGGGCGUAAAGGGCUCGUAGGCGGCCAACUAAGUCAGACGUGAAAUCCCUCGGCUUAACCGGGGAACUGCGUCUGAUACUGGAUGGCUUGAAUCCGGGAGAGGGAUGCGGAAUUCCAGGUGUAGCGGUGAAAUGCGUAGAUACCAUCCAGAACACCGAUUGCGAAGGCAGCCGGCUAAACUGUAACUGACGCUGAGGCACGAAAGCGUGGGGAUCGAACAGGG
rnacentral:rRNA from 1 species